UACACUCCUGCGGGAGGUAGCAGUGGGGAAUAUUGGACAAUGGGCGCAAGCCUGAUCCAGCCAUGCCGCGUGAGUGAUGAAGGCCCUAGGGUUGUAAAGCUCUUUCACCGGUGAAGAUAAUGACGGUAACCGGAGAAGAAGCCCCGGCUAACUUCGUGCCAGCAGCCGCGGUAAUACGAAGGGGGCUAGCGUUGUUCGGAUUUACUGGGCGUAAAGCGCACGUAGGCGGACUAUUAAGUCAGGGGUGAAAUCCCGGGGCUCAACCCCGGAACUGCCUUUGAUACUGGUAGUCUUGAGUUCGAGAGAGGUGAGUGGAAUUCCGAGUGUAGAGGUGAAAUUCGUAGAUAUUCGGAGGAACACCAGUGGCGAAGGCGGCUCACUGGCUCGAUACUGACGCUGAGGUGCGAAAGCGUGGGGAGCAAACAGGAUUAGAUACCCCGGUAGUCCCA
rnacentral:rRNA from 1 species